GAUGAACGCUGGCGAGAUGCCUUACACAUGCAAGUCGUACGGGGAUUUUUAAUUCAAGUGGCGGACGGGUGAGUAACACGUAAGAAUUUGCCUUUAGGAGGGGGACAACAACUGGAAACGGUUGCUAAUACCCCAUAUGCUUUCGAGUGAAAUGGAUUUUUCCGCCUAAAGAGAAGCUUGCGGCUGAUUAGCUUGUUGGUGAGGUAAUGGCUCACCAAGGCGACGAUGUCUAGGGGUUCUGAGAGGAUGAUCCCCCACACUGGUACUGAGACACGGACCAGACUCCUACGGGAGGCAGCAGUAAGGAAUAUUGGUCAAUGGACGAAAGUCUGAACCAGCCAUGCCGCGUGAAGGAUGACGGCCCUAUGGGUUGUAAACUUCUUUUGUACGGGAAUAAACCCUUCUACGUGUAGAAGGCUGAAUGUACCGUAAGAAUAAGCACCGGCUAACUACGUG
rnacentral:rRNA from 1 species